GCACAAGGAAAGGCAUGAUUCUUCUGCUCUGAGGGGAUCACAGAGGAUCUCCUAGAGGUGGGAGCAGCUGAACUGCCCCAUGAAUGAAGAGGAACAAUGUCCAGAGGUGUAGCCAAUAUCACUGCAUUCGGCUGCUAGCAGCAGACUCUUGACUACCAGUGACUUAACCAGAUAGGGACUUUUUUGUGUCAGACAACAACGGGGUGAGGGGUAAAGGGAGAUGAUGCCUCAGCUGUACCAUUGGGAACCCAGACUACUUCUUUCUACACUGCCAUGCUUAGAGUGGAGGCCUUUGGCCUUAGGUUUAUCAUCUCAUGGUAGGAAAGUGGCUGCUACG
rnacentral:lncRNA from 1 species